GCUCUUUCAUGAUGUCUGCGAGUCAUGUGACUGAACGCCUCGCGAUCUCUCCUUCACAUGAGCUCCUGUAUCCACAAGCUCGGGAUAAAUCAGCUUCAGAAACCUGAAACGUCGUGUUUAAGAAGUGCCACGGCUUUCAAAAGCAGGAACGCGGAUGAAAGAUUUAUGAAGUGUUGGACGCAAUUAAACGAGCUGAUGCUCAAUUCUCGUCUCCGUUUCACCUGUGGCCCACCAGACGGCAGAACCCGUGUGUGAGCACAGGUUGAGCCCAGACAGCACCAGGUUGGAGACCUGAUCCUUUCCCUAUAAAU